CUAUUAGCUUCAGACAGGCUAGAUUGAUUGUAAGGCAGCAGCAGGAGCUGAGACUCAGAGCUGAGUGAGCGUCAGGGUGAAAAGGAGAGAGAGAGGGGAACGCGAGGUGGAGAGGGAGGCAGUGCACGUUCGUUCCCUAGCAUCGCUCUGUGACUGCCGGUGCUGAAUAUCUUGCUCCGUAGCUGCCCCAGUCAACAACUUACUGAGGUGCCUUUUCUUUUACAAGAGGAUGUCUGCUUUGAGCCCCAGCAAGAAAUAGCAGACUUCACCUUGGAAUAGUUCGUCUCACUCCUGCGUCAUUAAAGAGGAUCUUGAAAAGGAAACAAAAAUCAAGUCUCCCUUCCAGCCCCACUUUGUUCCAGAAUUGAACAGAAACAGUUUUGUGCUCCAGCCCUGAGCUAACAUCUGUCACCAAUCCUCCUCUGUUUUACUGAGGGAGACUGGUCCUGAGCUAAUAUCUGUGCCCAGCUUCCUCUACUUUGUAUGUGGGAUGCCUGCCACAGCAUGGCUUCACAAAUGGUGCAUAAGUCUGCAACUGGGAUCCAAACUGGUGAAGCCCAAGCCGCCAAAGUGGAAUGUGUGAACUUAACCACUGUGCCAAAAGGCUGGCCCAAAAUUUUCUUCAUUUUGAAUGGUGUAUACUACAUUGCUACAUUACUUUAAUAUCAGUGUUGAAAAAUUACCAGUUAUACUUGCUGUUUAUGAUCUAUUUGGACAGUAAGAUAUAUAUUUUACAUAUAUUAUAUAUAUAUAUAUAUUUUUAUCUGUCUUUGCCCUAAAUUGAAUUGUAAAUGUGUCAGAUCUUCCACUAAGUGGUCAUCCUGUCUUUUCAUUGAAUAGCUCAAGUUAUUGGAAGCUGAAUAAAACGUGUCUGAUUGUUAUAAAGUUACUCAUAUCAAGCCAGAGUAUGUGUCUCUGUAAUUUUCAUUCCUUGGUCUUACAGUUUUCCCUGGGUCCAUGCAGCAAGUGUCUCAUGGUUCUACAUGUGAUUUCCUCUUUUGUUUGAGCUAUGUUCAUGUUAAACUUCACCAUCCUGGUCACUCCCCUUUCAACGUUUUUCCCUAUGGUGCCAUUAAAAUAUGAUAACUAGAACUGAAUACAAUGGUCCAGAUUUGGACUUAUCCAUGAAGGAUAAAGGAUGUAGCAUCUCCCUAAUUUGAAACACAACACUUUUGCUAAUGAAGACAUAUACUGAUUUUUUUUGUGGCUACAAAGCAAUUUAUUGAAUUUAAUGACAAUGAAAAUCUCUGAGUUUCUUUUACAUAUGUUGCUCCUAAAGUAUAUCUCCACCAUCAUGUUUUUAUAUAACUAUCAUGAUAGAAAAUUCUCAUUCUUAUUUUCUUUAGUCUCGGAUUUUGUUGUCCAAUCUCUUGAUGCAAUUAAUUGUUUAGCUUACAUUGUUUUGGAUUUCUUCACAUCCAAACUCCAAUCUAUGUUAUUUUUAUAUUUUCUAUAAAAUGUUAUUUUAUUUUCUCUAUAAAAUUAUGUGUGAAGCAAAAAAACCUAAUAAAAUAUUUCUCAUGAAACUGAUAA
rnacentral:lncRNA from 1 species